AUGAUUUGGUGGUUCAUAAGCACGAUGACUGGGUUUUCAGGCUCACGUGUGAGCUGUGCCUCCCUCAAACCUUGUUAGGGCAUCAGCACAUUACCCAUCUGAAU